UAUAUAUAUAUUGUUUUUUUUUUUUUUUUUUUUUUUUACUAUUAUUUUUUAGUUCCCUCCCCACCCCCCGCGCGCGGUCUUCUAUUUUCAUACGCGGUUUCAUAUUCGGAAAACGCUAUCUGUACAUAUUUUAAUAAGAACGACGCAAUGUCUGUACAAUGUGUUAUUAUUAUUCGCAUGCGCAUAGAAUACAAUAAUAAUGUAUCGUUAAUAUGAUAAAUGUUUUUUUUUGUUUUUUUUUUUUUUUGUAUUAAUAUUACCUAUAUAACAUUAUCAUUUCUAUAAUUAAUUUUGUUUAUUUUUAUUUUUUCCGUUUAUUUGUGUAACGUUGUUGAAACAUAUAUUUAUAUAUUAUAUUGUAAAAAGAAUAUCGUUCUCCGUGAUUUUAUGUGUACAUAAUACCGAUAGUAAAUAUAAUAACAAUUAUUAUGUUCAACGCGGUCUAAACGCGCCACACGUUUUUACCGGUACCCGGUGGAUGUGACGUUACGGCCGUGUUGAUAUUUUUUAAUAAUUAUAUAGUAUAUAAUAAAAUAUUAUGUGUAUGUGAUGUGAAGUUGAUGUUAAUAAAGAUUGAAGAAACAACAAACAAAAUCGGCCGUCAUUUAAACGUGCUUGAUCGUUACAAUUAUAUGCUGCACGGUGACGUGUACAACCGUCGUCUGCUUGUUUCGGGAUACCGCUUUUUACCGAUAGCCGGUGUUUGAAAUCGAAAACCGCGAGUCAAUAUACCGUUGUGCACAUUGAAAUGAAUUUGUAUUAGAUGUAUUAGAUCGAAACCCGGGUUUUUUUUCGCCCAAUACUUCGUUCGUAUAUUCCAGAAACGACUUUUUCGCCGAAUUUAUCGGUUCAAAUAUCGUUUUUUAAUAAAAAAAGAAAAAAAGAAAAGAAAAAAAAAAAAACCCCGAUACCGCCGAUAUCGUCGGUUAAUGUAUCGGCCCGCCCGUUAUAUAUUCGUCCGGUCGCGUUCACCCGGGACAUUAAGCGCCCGCCCGGCUUAUUUGCUACAGCCUUAUCGCGAAACGGUCGGUGUUGGUCGAUCCCAGCAGACUUUUGGGUCCGGGGAAAAAACGUCGCGAAUUAUCGAAAAAUGUUUCGUGAAAUUGUAUACAUUUUGUUCGUAUAUAUAUAUUUAUGCGCCCAUAGCUGCAGACGAG